rnacentral:rRNA from 1 species
UACGGAGGGUGCGAGCGUUAAUCGGAAUUACUGGGCGUAAAGCGGGCGUAGGCGGCUUGUUAAGUCGGAUGUGAAAGCCCCGGGCUCAACCUGGGAAUUGCAUUCGAUACUGGCUAGCUAGAGUGUGGUAGAGGGUAGCGGAAUUCCCGGUGUAGCGGUGAAAUGCGUAGAUAUCGGGAAGAACACCAGUGGCGAAGGCGGCUACCUGGACCAACACUGACGCUGAGGUCCGAAAGCGUGGGGAGCAAACAGG